CCUGAACGCUGGCGGCGUGGCUAAGACAUGCAAGUCGUACGGAUGUAGCAAUACAUCAGUGGCGGACGGGUGAGUAAUGAAUCGCUAAUGUACCCCAGAGUCUGGGAGUAGCUGCCCGAAACGGGACGAGGUAAUACCAGAUGAUAUAUCCGAUAGGCAUCUGUUGGAUCUCAAAGGAGCAAUACGCUCUGGGAGCAGGCGAUCGUUAUCAGCUAGUUGGUGAGGUAACGGCCCACCAAGGCGACGACGCGUAGCUGGUCUGAGAGGACGGCCAGCCACAUUGGGACUGAGACACUGCCCAGACUCCGUACGGGGGGCGUNCAGUAACGAAUCUUCCGCAAUGCACGCAAGUGUGACGGAGCGACGCCGCGUGUGGGACGAA
rnacentral:rRNA from 1 species